AUGAAGAACUUCAUCAAAACUCAAGUUCAGUCUUGCCUGACCUGCCAACAAGCUAAACCUGAAAGGGUGCAGUACCCUGGGCUCUUAUCACCUCUUCCAGUUCCCCCCAAAGCAUGGGAUACAGUAUCUAUGGAUUUCAUUUCAGGCCUUCCCUCCUCUUAUCAGUAUAACUGCAUAUUGGUGGUCAUUGACAAAUUUUCCAAGUAUGGUCACUUUAUGGGGCUCACACAUCCUUUUAAUGCCCAAAAAGUUGCUGAAAUCUUUCUGGACAAUGUAUAUAAGUUGCAUGGUAUGCCCAGGUUGAUAAUUUGUGAUAGAGAUCCCAUAUUCACAAGUGCCUUCUGGAAGUUUCUCAUUUCCAAUACUGGUGCUGAGUUAAACAUGAGCACAGCUUGUCACCCUGAGACUGACGGGCAGACUGAAAGAGUUAAUCAGCAGAUCGAGUGUUUUCUGAGGUGUUUUAUCAGCGCUCACCCUACCAAAUGGAGUAAAUGGCUCUCCCUAUGUGAGUUCUGGUACAACAAUAACUGGCAUUCUGCUUUGAAUAAAUCUCCCUUUGAAAUCAUUCAUGGCCAGACGCCUAGAUACUUUGGGAUUUCUGAGUCUGAUACAAUUGCUCCUGUGGACAUUCAGUUUUGGUUAGACUCACGUCAGUUGGUGAUCGACUCGGUCAGGCAACACUUGCUCCGUGUGCAACAGCGAAUGAAGCAUCAGGCAGAUAAGAAACGCACUGAACGAGAAUUUGCUGUGAAUGAUAUGGUGUUCCUCAAACUGCAGUCGUAUGUGCAAUCUUUAGUUGUCAGACGCGCCAAUCACAAGCUUUCCUUCAAGUUCUUUGGACCAUACAGGAUUGUGGAGAAGAUAGGUGAAGUGGCUUAUAAAUUGGAUCUUCCAACCUCAAGCCGCAUCCAUCCAGUGUUCCAUGUUUCACAGCUCAAGCGUUUCAUCCCUCCUGCCAUGACGGUUCAAAACCAGUUGACAUCUCCUGCA
rnacentral:rRNA from 1 species